CGGGGUGAGUAAUGUCUGGGAAACUGCCUGAUGGAGGGGGAUAACUACUGGGAACGGUAGCUAAUACCGCAUAACGUCGCAAGACCAAAGAGGGGGACCUUCGGGCCUCUUGCCAUCGGAUGUGCCCAGAUGGGAUUAGCUAGUAGGUGGGGUAAUGGCUCACCUAGGCGACGAUCCCUAGCUGGUCUGAGAGGAUGACCAGCCACACUGGAACUGAGACACGGUCCAG
rnacentral:rRNA from 1 species